UGAGGAAUAUUGGUCAAUGGACGCAAGUCUGAACCAGCCAAGUAGCGUGCAGGAAGACGGUCCUAUGGGUUGUAAACUGUUUUUAUAUGGGGAUAAAGUGGGGAACGUGUUCCCUUUUGCAGGUACAAUAUGAAUAAGGACGGGCUAAUUCUGUGCCAGCAGCCGCGGUAAUACGGAAGGAUCGGGCGUUAUCCGGAUUUAUUGGGUUUAAAGGGAGCGUAGGCCGUUUGGUAAGCGUGUUGUGAAAUGUAGGAGCUCAACUUCUGGAUUGCAUCGCGAACUGUCAGACUUGAGUUCGCACGACGUAGGCGGAAUUCCUGGUGUAGCGGUGAAAUGCUUAGAUAUCAUGAAGAACUCCGGUUGCGAAGGCGGCUUACGGGAGCGCAACUGACGCUGAGGCGCGAAGGUGCGGGUAUCGAACAGG
rnacentral:rRNA from 1 species